AUUGAACGCUGGCGGCAGGCCUAACACAUGCAAGUCGAGCGGAUGAAGGGAGCUUGCUCCUGGAUUCAGCGGCGGACGGGUGAGUAAUGCCUAGGAAUCUGCCUGGUAGUGGGGGAUAACGUCCGGAAACGGGCGCUAAUACCGCAUACGUCCUGAGGGAGAAAGUGGGGGAUCUUCGGACCUCACGCUAUCAGAUGAGCCUAGGUCGGAUUAGCUAGUUGGUGGGGUAAAGGCCUACCAAGGCGACGAUCCGUAACUGGUCUGAGAGGAUGAUCAGCACACCUGAAACUGGAAACCGUCCCAACUCCCCCGGGGGGGCAGCGUGGGGAAAUUUUGGGAAUGGGGGGAAACCCUGACCCACCCCGCCCGCUGGUUGGAAGAAGGUUUUCGGUUUGUAAACCCCUUUAAGUUGGGAGGAAGGGCAGUAAUUUAAUCCCUUGCUUUUUGGCCUUUCCCAACAAAAAAAGCACCGGCUAACUUCGU
rnacentral:rRNA from 1 species